AAAUAAGGAUGUAGUUGGUAAUGUAAUGAAAAAAAAUCUGAAUUGUGGCCUCUUCUAACUACAUAGUUUUUCAAUGAGGAAAAAUAGUCAAUGGCAGACAAAUUGGGAUCUGAGGUUAGCAAUCCUUCUUAUAUACGCAUUUGAUAAGGAAGAUAACUUUUGGCAGCUGUACGGUGUUUUUCUACGUACCCAAUGCAGAUGAUUGCCCUAGUCUGCUUCUAGCUAGUGAGGUGGAGCUUUCAGAACUGCAGGAUCCCAAUCUUGCUUCAACUAUGAGAGAACAGCAACAUCGAGCCUUAAUUUUGGGAAAAAAUUGGGUAUUAAUCAGCCUGUAUAUCUUGUUAUCAUUAUGCAGAAAAAAAUUGAUUACCAUAUGUUUUAACUCAUUUGUGCACUGAGUAUGGCACAAACAAACUAGAAUUGGUGCGCUUGUUCAAGAUGCAAAUAUACUAAUGGAGCAAAUGGAGAAACAACAAUUCAUUCCAGGCAUCAGGAAUGUCAGGAAUACACUAUGACUGCAAUCAUGCAUCCCAACUUUCUU